UACGUAGGGUGCAAGCGUUGUCCGGAAUUACUGGGCGUAAAGGGCUCGUAGGCGGCCAACUAAGUCAGACGUGAAAUCCCACGGCUUAACCGUGGAACUGCUUGGUAUACUGCUUAUCUUGGGCCACUUAGGGGCUACCGGAACAAACGGUGGAGCGGUGAAAUGCGUAGAUAUCGUUUGGAACGCCAAUGGUGAAAACAGGUAGCUGGGAGUGUGCCGACGUGAGACACGAAGGCCAGGGGAGCGAACGGG
rnacentral:rRNA from 1 species